UGGGGAAUAUUGCACAAUGGGCGCAAGCCUGAUGCAGCAACGCCGCGUGAACGAUGAAGGUCUUCGGAUCGUAAAGUUCUGUUGCAGGGGAAGAUAAUGACGGUACCCUGUGAGGAAGCCCCGGCUAACUACGUGCCAGCAGCCGCGGUAAUACGUAGGGGGCUAGCGUUAUCCGGAUUUACUGGGCGUAGAGGGUGCGUAGGUGGUCUUUCAAGUCGGUGGUUAAAGGCUACGGCUCAACCGUAGUUAGCCUCCGAAACUGGAAGACUUGAGUGUAGGAGAGGAAAGUGGAAUUCCCAGUGUAGCGGUGAAAUGCGUAGAUAUUGGGAUGAACACCAGUAGCGAAGGCGGCUUUCUGGACUGCAACUGACACAGAGGCACGAAAGCGUGGGUAGCAAACAGG
rnacentral:rRNA from 1 species